AGAGUUUGAUCCUGGCUCAGGACGAACGCUGGCGGCGCGCCUAACACAUGCAAGUCGAACGGAGUUACUUUGAUAGAAUCCUUCGGGGUGACAUUGAUUUAACUUAGUGGCGAACGGGUGAGUAACACGUGAGGAACCUGCCCUUCAGAGGGGGACAACAGUUGGAAACGACUGCUAAUACCGCAUAAGACCACAGUACCGCAUGGUACAGGGGUCAAAGGAGCAAUCCGCUGAAGGAUGGCCUCGCGGCCGAUUAGCUAGAUGGCGGGGUAACGGCCCACCAUGGCGACGAUCGGUAGCCGGACUGAGAGGUUGAACGGCCACAUUGGGACUGAGACACGGCCCAGACUCCUACGGGAGGCAGCAGUGGGGAAUAUUGCACAAUGGAGGAAACUCUGAUGCAGCGACGCCGCGUGAGGGAAGAAGAUUUUCGGAUUGUAAACCUCUGUCUUCGGGGACGAUAAUGACGGUACCCGAGGAGGAAGCCACGGCUAACUACGUGCCAGCAGCCGCGGUAAUACGUAGGUGGCAAGCGUUGUCCGGAAUUACUGGGUGUAAAGGGAGCGCAGGCGGGUGUGCAAGUUGGAUGUUUAAACUAUGGGCUCAACCCAUAGGUGCAUUCAAAACUGCAUAUCUUGAGUGGUGCAGAGGCAGGCGGAAUUCCCGGUGUAGCGGUGGAAUGCGUAGAUAUCGGGAGGAACACCAGUGGCGAAGGCGGCCUGCUGGGCACUAACUGACGCUGAGGCUCGAAAGCAUGGGUAGCAAACAGGAUUAGAUACCCUGGUAGUCC
rnacentral:rRNA from 1 species